CAGAGCCAUCUCUGAGCGAGCUGAUGCAGGAGUUUGGCCUUGACACUUCAGCCACCCCUGAGUCACUGGAUGGGUGAAGGUGUGGGGCACAGAACACAACACACCAAAUAUGGUGUGACAGUUUGAUAUGGCCUGGACACUUCAGCCAACCCCUGAUGGGCAAAAGGAGGAGGGCACAGACCAGUUUAUGACUGCCCCUUUGCUCUGGACCGUCCCCUUACAAAAGUACCAGUUGCUAUAUAUACUGUGUGAGUCUUUUGUGUUUAUAACAUUUUGAUCUUUUUUGAUUUCUUCUGUUUUCUGCUGAACCAGACAGGUAACUACAAGGCAAGGCAACACUUUAACCUUUUGACUAAUAGUUUGAGAAAGAGCACUGGUAGUGCAUAGGUUAAAGGUCUAGAGUGAAGUUCACAAGACUGUAAAUCUUAUUCUCUAUAAGGAGCACUGGGAGUGCUGAGUAAGAGGCGCUUACAGGAGUUAGCAGGACUGUCCCACGCAGUGUAUUCCUCCGUGUUCCACUGUGUGCUAAAUCGUGUGAUUUAGACUCCAUGAAUAAAGCUGAGAUCUGUCCUAUUUUGUUUUAGCAUUCAUAUUAUUACACAGGGUAACUGUAUUUGAUGUCAGCAUAUGGGCUAUCCACGGUGGAGAAGAGGAGGACAGGCUGAGAAAACAGAAUGUCACUGUAACAACAACAGUAAAUGUGUAUGACGCCUAACUGCUAUGUGUUUUGUGUGCAGCUAUGAGGACUUUUCUUCCAGUGCUCCAUCUGCUCACCCUCUGGGCCGUAGGGAUGGGAGAAAUUAGGCUUCGUCAAGAUGUCUUACUUGAAGUGGUCAAACAAAUAAGAGGGGUUAAACUGGAAGGUCAGUUUGCCAUGGCUGUCAGAAUCCCCCAAGAACAGUGCGUGAAUGGAGGAUUUACCCUUACUGAGUACUACAAGGACAUCAAAAAGAGCAUAGGCGAGCGAUUUACCAAAACAAUAUAUUCUGCUGGGUUGCGAACACAGAUCAUUGCAGCCAGACCCCAUGGACUGCAUGCUGAGCUGCGUGUCCUGCAAGCUCUACGUAAACAAACCGUUAAUACAAAUGACUGUAUAGUGUUGUAUUCAUUGUACUCUCCUUGCCUGGAAUGCAUGAAAGUGCAUGGUGAUAAGAACAUUAUUGAUGAACUUAUAUUUGGUAACUUGCCCAGAUCCCAAACAGCCUUUGUAUUCGACGUGGUCUACAACCCUUCCAAAUCCCUUCAAUCAAAACCCAAACCCACUAAAGCCCAAGUGUCAGAAGGCUUUGAUCAUAUCAGCAUUUUUACCAAUUUGUACUAUUGCAAAAAAGACGAGUGUGAAUGGUGUGGCAGGAAUAAUGUUAAUGAGAACCCUUGUUUGGAUGAUUAUUAAGGGUGAAGAGGACACUGGAGGGCUGUGGGUUGGAGUUAGGCUUGCCUUGUUCCUAUAAUGUUCUUUCUUUUAGAUUGCAUCAUAACAUUUUAUGUAAAUAUAUAUAUAUCAUUAUCCAGCAAAUGCUUAUUUGUAACAAAUCAAUUCUUUGAAGUGUUGGAAUCUAGUAUAACAGCAUAGCAAGCUUUUAGAAUAAUUCUUGCUAUGCUAUUCUCCCUGCUUGCUCUUGUGAUGCCACUGCAACUAUGUGAAUAUUCCCUCUCUUUAACUCCCUCCCUUCUUUGUUCAUUGUAUCUGCAUAUUUACCGUUCAAUAAAGUGCACUAUGACAGGAUUUGAUUGUCUCUA
ensembl:lncRNA